AUACGGAGGGUGCAAGCGUUACUCGGAAUCACUGGGCGUAAAGCGCGCGCAGGCGGCUUGAUAAGUUGGAUGUGAAAGCCUACGGCUCAACCGUAGAACUGCACCCAAAACUGUCAGGCUCGAGUGUGGGAGAGGAAGAUGGAAUUAGUUGUGUAGGGGUAAAAUCCGUAGAGAUAACUAGGAAUACCAAAAGCGAAGGCAAUCUUCUGGAACACUACUGACGCUGAGGCGCGAAGGCGUGGGGAGCAAACAGGAUUAGAAACCCCAGUAGUCC
rnacentral:rRNA from 1 species